GCCGCCAUAGUUCAAUGGACAGAACGAGCGCCUCCUAAGCGCUAGAUACAGGUUCGAUUCCUGUUGGUGGCGCCA
rnacentral:tRNA from 1 species